UCGUGAGGCUUUGGCGCAAAUGGCGGUGACGUGGGAUGCCCAGGAAAGGUUAGGAGCAAGGUGAACUCCGAGAUAUUUAUAUGAAGAUGCUUCCGAGACAUGAGAGUGGUUAUAUAACUUUGGCACUCACU
rnacentral:lncRNA from 1 species